rnacentral:rRNA from 1 species
AUGUCGUGGCACGGCGUCUUGCCCGACGAAGAGGACAGGAUCGAUCUCCCCCUUUACAUCUCGCCCGCCACUCCCCCUUACAUCUCGCCCGCCACACUUCUCUUCAAGGUGAGAGCUUACGAGAUGGCGGCGCCGGAUUCGAUCUGCGUCCACCACCUGGUGGCGCGACCGGCAGGAGGUGAGCACGCCAAAGGAUUAGCUGAGCUCAAGAUUGUGGAAGGGGCAAUCGGGAAUCUGAGCAGGGAGGCAUUGCCAGGGCCGGUGUAUGGGUUCCAGGAGCUAGGUCUGGCGGAAGCAGUUCUGCACAACUUGGCGAGGUGUCAGUUCGAGACCCCGAGUCCGUUGCAGUGCUACUCGAUCCCGAUGGUGCUGGCCGGCCGGGACCUGUUGGUUUGCGCGCAGAAGGGGUCCGGGAAGACGACCGCCUUACUCAUCCCGGUGUUGAGUGGGCUGGUGACGGCGCCGGUAGCAGCAGGAAGAACAGGACGUAUGAAGUGUGUUAAACCACGCGCGCUCUUGCUCGUGCCUACCGCCAGGCUUGUAAAACAGAUUGGUGCUGAUAUCAGGAAAUUCUCUUACCGAACUAGAAUAAGAGUUCAUUCAAAGAUGAAAGGGAAGAUGCAGAAAUGUCAGCUUGAAGCGGGCAUUGAUAUAGUUGUUUCUACACCCCGACGUCUUAUCAACAUGGUUAGAACCACUCAAGUCUCCCUUGAGGCAAUAAAGUAUCUGGUCAUAUGCGAGCUUGGUUUGAUGCUGGAUAUGGGGUUUGAAAAAACGUUAAGGAAGAUAGUUGAUGACAUGCAUAUUCCACCGAAAUCUGCCAGACAUACUUUACUUUCCAGCGGUACUUUCCAACCAGCAGUACAGAAACUGGCUUGGGAUUUCUUGUCAGAUUACUUAUUUAUCACCGAUGGGAGGUUGGAGUUCAGUAUUGGCCUAACUAAGCAGAAAAUUGAGCUUGCCUCUGAAGAAGAGAAAAGAGGCCUCCUGCUAAAUCUGUUACAGAAGCAAUCCGUCUCUUCUGCCGGCAUGCAGAGCCAACUCAGAACAGUAGUUUUUGUCGAGACAAAAGGAAAGGCUGAUUCAUUGAAGAAUUGGCUAUGCAAUGAAGGUUUUCCUGCAACAGUGAUCUUUGCUGACAGUUCACAGCAGGAGAGAGAGAGCGCAUCGCUACCUUUCCAGAUUAGCGGCAUUUCUAUCCUGAUUGCUGCCAAUGCAGCCUCACCAGGCUUGGACGUUGCAAAUGUUGAUCAUUUGAUUAACUAUGAUCUUCCAAAGUCUGUUGAGGAAUAUGUUGAGAGGAUUAGAACAUUUGCGAGAGUUGGUUCUGCCACUUCCUUCUUCACUGAGUCCAACCGGUCCAUAGCAAAAGGCUUGCUGGAAUUGAUGAUUGAGGCAAAUCUAGAAGUGCCAGAUUGGCUGUUGGACUAUGCUAAUCCUGAUUAUACUAGAUCUGUGGAAUUGGACUCAGAAGAUGAGGAGAAUGAUAAGGACAGAUAUGAUUUAGCUCGGUCUCUCGCCUCACGCAAGAUUGAUAACAUAUACGAUCUGGCAUGUGUUUGGGCUGAAUUAAAUUGCAGGAGAACUAAGCAAAGCUUUGAUGAUAGUAGGAUCAAGACAAUGUCUAAAGAUUGUUGUAUUGCAUUUACACAACAAGAAGAAUACAAGUUCCUCAAGUUCUAUUUCGUCAAGGUUACUCAGCAUUGUUAUAGUCCUGAAAGUUAUGAAAAAACCUAUUGGCAUUACAAUUUCAUUGCCAAGAUUAAGAGUAAAUCAGGAAUCUGGACUGAAGGUAUCUACUUUGCUGAAAGAAAAUUAGAAUGUGAUGUGGAGACAUUUUGUUGCUCUUUCCUGGAGCCGUCAGACGAUGGUGAGUGCUAUGGUUGUCAACAUGGGGAGGCGAAGGUUCGGCAUCCAACUAGAGGUGACUAUGAGAGAGGAACACCUGAUCAUGUUUGGCUUUCCGAUGGUGACUGUGAAAUUAGUGAUGAUGAUAUGGUGGAUUUCUAA